ACAAAAAGGAGGGCGUCUUACAAAGUACCUACUGAAUCUCUGCGCCUUAGUGAAAGGAAAUUCAAUCGCUAUAUUCACCCCUCCUUUCUUUUACAAAACCGCAUUCAUCCAAGGGGGGGGGGGGAGAGAGAGAAUCAUGUCCCGUGACGUCACCCCUUCCGCUUCUGCAGCUGCUGGAAUGUUCUCGAAAAAAGUGUCGACAAGAAGUCAGUGUAAGAACAGGUUUGGUGCAGCAGAAGAUGAAGCGCGGGCGAUGAAAGGAGACACAAAUGGUUCUCUGCAGCAAAAUGAAUAUGGCUGUGCUGUUUGUGGGCUGUCUUUCUGGAAAUCUCUUCAUCCCUUUACAAAAUAGUAUUCAGCUACUGUUUGGUCCCUAGGAACCUCACCUCAGACAAGACAAAAACUCCAGAGCAGCAUCCAAGGGAAGUGGCGGCACUGCCUGGUAGUUCCUGACAGACGCAGACAGCAACAGAAAAAUGAAAAUGCAUCUGAUGGGGUCGAAGCCACAAAACAAAUGUAAGCUGGUGCCGGUAAACAAACCCCUUAUUUGUGCAAAAUUGGAAUUGCAAUGGAAACAUCUGAAUUAUAGACCAGAGCAACUUGAGUUGGUAGUAACAAUUAAAAAGUACAUUUCAAAAAACACACAGGUAUAAAGGACACCAAACUACUAGGCUUUAGCAGUGCUACUUGAAUAAAGUAAAGUUCAAAAAAUUAAAUUUAACUAGAUACACUUUCUUUGAGUGAUAACUAGACAGUUUCUGUCCUUUGUCACAGUUGCAGUGUUUUUAGCACAACUGCCUUGGGAGAAGACAAAAGAAUUGUCCUGACAAUGACCUUGGGUAAGAAUAAUAGAAAGGACUGGCACUAAAUAUGAUUAUUAUUUUAACGCCAAAAGUGACCUCCACAGUUUAGAAC